GCCCCGGUAGUUAUAAUGUAAAACCGCAGACUUUUAAUCUGUCAGUUCUCGGUUCAAGUCCGAGUCGGGGUAC
rnacentral:tRNA from 1 species